UGGGUCGUCCUUAUAUUCCUCAGUGUCACUUUGUAACUCCUUCGGCAUCUGUUGUUAUAGCAACGGGUCACUGACUUUGCCUCUCUCGUGUUCUCCAUCACUGUAUGCAAUGAAGUAACGAGUCAACAAAAUUAAUGUGUAGCAAUGGAUGCAUUAAUUUUUUUACAGAGGCUAUCACUGGUAAUGACUAUCAGGAGAUACAGUAAAUGUUCUAUCAGGAGUGCAUGACAAUCGCUAUAAUAAUACACUACAGGCAGGUGGUCCACUGCGCAUGUGUAUUAGUACACUUGCGGUGUCUGGGACAGAUUUUGCAAUCUACCCACAAUACUCGCAACACCUUGUAGCUAGUACUCCUGCGGUCUUCUAUCCGAUAGAGGACCGCAGGAGUAGACUACUGACUAUCGGUGGGAACUGUCGGUCUCCAUGGCAUCUCCUUGGAGACUCUGACGUCAAUGGUCUGGAAUAUUCCCAGAUCCAGUUCCAGAAGCUCAGUUCCUUUGAAGUUUGAAGAAGAAGCAAGUGUCUAGCUGGAAGAGAACCAUCGCAAAGCCUUCCACUGUGUUGCAGAACCAUCGCGAGCCUUCCACUGUGUUGCAGAACCAUCGCGAGCCUUUCACUGUGUUGCAGAACCAUCGCGAGCCUUCCACUGUGUUGCAGAACCAUCGCAAAGCCUUCCACUGUGUUGCAGAACCAUCGCAAAGCCUUCCACUGUGUUGCAGAACCAUCGCAAGCCUUCCACUGUGUUGCAGAACCAUUGCGAGCUUUCCAGCGGAGCAGCGCGAGGAUUCUCCAGCCAUGGAAGGAUAGAUCCGACUGCACUGCAAGAGCUAUUGUAAGUUGAAACCCUAGCUCUGCAUGUUUGUCUUGUUUGUAGCUAGCUUGUUGUAUGUGUUGUAGCAACUAGAUUGUUCAUUCUGGCCUUCCUUCGAGUGUAUCGGGUUUACGCGCUGUUUGUUGAGAAUGGAAGGUUUUUGGUUGGUGAUUAUUUUGCUCUUGUAUUCCUAGUGUUUUAAGUGUGGUGGCCCCUUCUUGACUGUGAGGUGUGUAGGUCAUGCAGCUUAAUAGAUACAUACUUGCCAGCAAAGCGCACGUUAAAUACAUGUAUGCAUGGCUAAACUCGUGUCGACAACGCUUUUUAUGUUUAUUUACUGUUAGUAUACGCGUGGCUAAGAGUCUAUUACCUGCAUGGCCUUGAACCCUGGGGGGAGGGGGGGUGGCCGUAGCACUCAAGUAAUCAAUCAGAAUGUGUGUGGGAGGUUCUUCAACAGUUGGGUCGCAGGACAGCAUCUUCUUGUUCUUGGAACCCUUGUCGAACCAGCCUUUGGGGUGCAAUGAUGGAUUACUCAUGGCACUCCAGUCUAUUGAGGGAGCACUCUGCUGUUAGUACCUGCCUAAAGGGAAAGCAGCACAGGAUCCUGCCAUAAUAGGGAGUGUUAUGAUCUCGUUAUCAGUUCCAAUAGUUAGUUAGCUAGGAUCAUUAGAAAAUAGCUUAGCUAUAAUAUAGUUAGACAACUGCUGCUUCUUGGCUUAUGCUAAUAUAGACAGCUUUUUUAGGAUCCUAACUCUGUGCCUACUGCACAUGGAAUUGGUAAGUUCAGGCUUUAACUAAACCCUAGGUGUGCCAAGGGAACUGUAGCCUUUGACUGGAUUAGUGAAGAGUAGUCUUGAGCACUUGUACAAGCCUUGCGUGUCAGGCUUGUUGCAACUGGAGUCGACAAGGGCUUCAAGAGGAAGGAGGGGUUGUCUCUGUGAGUCUACUGUUGUUGAACCAUCCCACACAUUCUGGUUGAUUACUUCUGUGCUCAGUUAAUGGUACUCACAGUCACAGGGUCCCUUUAGUUUAUUAUGCCCUUUGUUGAAUCUGUCCCUUGAGCAAGGAAACUACUGGUGAUAAUGUUCUCAAUGGUGGUGAUGUUGUCAGUUCUGGUGGUAAUUGGUUGGUAUUAUUUUGUUUUCUAAGGUUGUGGAGAUUUGUUGAUGAUCGGUUUUGUUUGAACUGCUGCGCUCAAUGUAACCAUCAUUUGCUUGUCCUCUUGCAGCCACAAUGCACACACACACAGCUCCUCCUACUAGCUACUGUACUAGUGUUCCAUUCUCUCACUGCUUUUGUCUCCUCUCUCCCCCAGGUACAGACAAGCCAUGCUGCUCUGGGACCCAGGGAGGAUUACUAACCUGAUCACUGUAUAAUGUAUUGCAGGUACUGAAGGGGGCGGGGCUCAGAUCUCACCGCCCACUACUAUCAUUGUGUGAUUAUAUAAUUAGUGUCUCUUGAGUAUGUGUGUAGGUGCAUGGAUUGUCUUGUGAGCAGCCAUGGAGACAUUCAAGACAAGUAUGGCUGGCUACAUGUACAGUGUCUUUCAUGCAUUCUAUUGUGUGUAGGUUGACGUCCCCCUGUACAGGAAAGAUAAGUAGCUCCAUUGAGUACAGUAUAUGUCUUAUGCUCUGCUCCCUAUGUAUAACUGUAUGGUUGUGGCAGAACCACUGUAACAGCAUACACACAGAUAAGUAGCUAGCUAUGUUGUAUGGCAAAUCUUUCAUGCUCCCCUGUGCAGGUUGAUGGUGUGUGGGAGGAGCCACUGUAACAGCAUACACACAGAUGAGUAGCUAGCUAUGUUGUAUGGCAAGUCUUUCAUGCUCUCUGUGUAGGUUGAUGGUGUGUGGAGGAGCCACUGUAACAGCAUACACACAGAUGAGUAGCUAGCUAUGUUGUGUGGCAAAUCUUUCAUGCUCUCUGUGUAGGUUGAUUGUGUGUGGAGGAGCCACUGUAACAGCAUACACACAAAUGAGUAGCUAGCUAUGUUGUAUGGCAAGUCUUUCAUGCUCUCUGCAUGCAGGUUGAUGGUUCUGUAUAUAUAUAUAUGGAUGGACAAGUUGAUGGUUGAUCUGGCACUAUCUAAUACUGAAUGGCUGCUGUACCCCUAACCCCUUGGCCUAUAAUUUUAAUUAUGGAACAACGUAACACUUUAAUGUUUUGUAAGAACAAUAGUUUAGUAUAAAAUUGUAGCAAUAAUAACUGUAAUCUUAAUAAUUAUUGAAGUUGACA